rnacentral:rRNA from 1 species
UCCUUAGACGUUCUGGGCCGCACGCGCGCUACACUGACGAAGGCAACGAGCUUUCCUUUACCGAAAGGUACGGGUAAUCUUUUGAAACUUCGUCGUGCUGGGGAUAGAUCCUUGCAAUUUUUGAUCUUAAACGAGGAAUUCCUAGUAAGCGCAAGUCAUCAACUUGCGUUGAUUACGUCCCUGCCCUUUGUACACACCGCCCGUCGCUACUACCGAUUGAAUGGUUUAGUGAGGCCUUCGGAUCCGCGACUCGUUUUGUGGAGAAGUUGGACAAACUCAGUCAUUUAGAGGAAGUAAAAGUCGUAACA